rnacentral:snoRNA from 1 species
AUGCCAUGAUGAGGGCAUUUCCGAAGCAUGUUCUUGAAUCUAUUUCAAGCUUCAUCAAAGGAUUCGGUUUCUCCCUGUCGAAAUAUGGAUACUUCAACUUUGCAAUCU